GGGUCAGUAGGUUGGUCGUGCCACCGGUACGUACUGGUCUCACUGAUUCCUCUUUCCUGAAGAACCGUAAUGCCAUUAAUUCGGUGUUGCGGGGAAACAGGACUGUUACUUUGAAAAAAUUAGAGUGUUUAAAGCAAGCUAACGCUUGAAUACAUUAGCAUGGAACAAUGAAAUAGGACGAUCGAUCCUAUUUUGUUGGUUUCUAGGAUUGACGUA
rnacentral:rRNA from 1 species